rnacentral:rRNA from 1 species
CCUGCCUUCAAGAGGGGGAUAACAUUCUGAAAAGAAUGCUAAUACCGCAUGACAUAUCGGAACCACAUGGUUCUGAUAUCAAAGAUUUUAUCGCUUGAAGAUGGACUCGCGUCCGAUUAGUUAGUUGGUGAGGUAACGGCUCACCAAGACCGCGAUCGGUAGCCGGACUGAGAGGUUGAACGGCCACAUUGGGACUGAGACACGGCCCAGACUCCUACGGGAGGCAGCAGUGGGGGAUAUUGCGCAAUGGGGGCAACCCUGACGCAGCAACGCCGCGUGAAGGAUGAAGGUUUUCGGAUUGUAAACUUCUUUUAUUAAGGACGAAAAAUGACGGUACUUAAUGAAUAAGCUCCGGCUAACUACGUGCCAGCAGCCGCGGUAAUACGUAGGGAGCAAGCGUUGUCCGGAUUUACUGGGUGUAAAGGGUGCGUAGGCGGCUUUGCAAGUCAGAUGUGAAAUCUAUGGGCUCAACCCAUAAACUGCAUUUGAAACUGUAGAGCUUGAGCGAAGUAGAGGCAGGCGGAAUUCCCCGUGUAGCGGUGAAAUGCGUAGAGAUGGGGAGGAACACCAGUGGCGAAGGCGGCCUGCUGGGCUUUAACUGACGCUGAGGCACGAAAGCGUGGGUAGCAAACAGGAUUAGAUACCCUGGUAGUCCACGCUGUAAACGAUGAUUAAUAGGUGUGGGGGGUCUGACCCCUUCCGUGCCGGAG